AAGUGCGGGUCCCACCGCUGCCCUGCGCUGGCCAGGCCGUGCCCCGGCACCGAGCCCCGGAACCGCCUCCUCCUUCCUGAGCCCCAGGCACCGAGAAAGCCCAAACGGGCUUUGCCCCGCGAGUGGCCGAACGCCUGCUCCAGACGGGUGUAGAGCUGCUCAUGGCUUUUGUACUAUACCGGGCAUUUUGCUAUGGUUACAAGGGGGCCCCGGGGCGGGAUUGGGGGGGGGGGGGGGAAGGGGGGGAGUCGUAAGGGAAGGAUGUUGCGCUUUUGUAGGGCCUAAAAAUUGGAUCCGCAGCUGAUCUUGGCGAGCCCGAGAUCCCGGGAAGUCAAAGGGUGCUGUGGAGGUGCGAUGCAGUGCGGUGCGGGGAGAGGAGCGGCAGGGCGAAGCGGAGCGAGCGGCGCCGGGCAGGCAGCCAUUGUUUCACGGUUCCACGUUCUUCGCCCAACCUCCGCCCGUCCAAGAAACUUCCUAAAGUUCAUCGGAAGGGGAACUCUCUGCACCUCGGUGGUUAAUGUCACUGUUUUAACGCUACCUCUCCCCGAGCUGCGCAGGCUUCUCCAAGAUCUAUCUUUAGGGGGAGUUCCCCGAAGUCUCCGGAGGGAACAUAGCUGCGGAUUUCAAACCCGGUCCGGUUCCAGUCGCACAGUGCCUGCUGCAAGAGAAGGGGGAGAUACUCACCAGAGUUUCGGGAGUGCGCGGGUAGCCCAAAGGUCUCUGCGGCGCUCCUUUCCUUUGCGGAAUACUAUCUUGCAUCCGAGGCAGUUCCCAGUCUAUAUUUGAUGUUACCAUUUAUGCUAUCUCAAACACGAGGCUCUCCCAUAGACAUUUUUUCCAGGGUUUUCAAGCAAAUUUCUCUGUGCCACAAUGUUAUGAUGGAAGGAUGCUGAAAUGACAGGCCUCGUAGACGCUUGUCUUAAUCAUCGGCUUCUUAAUUUAGUUUUAGUGCUGUGGUUUUGUGUGUGUGUGCGUGUGUGUCUGCGCGUGUGUGCGCGCAAGAGAAGCCUCUGACAACCUGCAGCUUCCUAAUGACUGACGAGGCAGGGCUGCUGCAGCAAAGUAACACUUCCCUGGUGUGAAGACCUCUUACUGGGAAGUUUAGUUCACUACUGUUCUCGCAACCCUAAUCGUAUAACCUGUAACCAAAACCCACGGAAGAAAGAUACAGCAUGCUAAAUAGACUAACUUCUAAUCACCAAACAUUAGCACCACUACCAGCUGUUGAGGAUUAAUCGGAAGUUGGCUAUAGACGGACACCUAAACUUAGAUCCACAAAUGCGGCUAGAAGGGUGGACCGUCGAAUGCUUCUUCCUCUCCCUCUUUGCCUCCAUUCAUCCAUCCAGCCACCUUCCGUCCCAUUCACCCCUCUUCAACAUGUUUGACUCCCUCCUUCUCUUUGUUCGCUCACUGCUCCGUCCCCACUCGCCAUGCCUUGGCAGCAGGGCAUCAGUGUCUGCUGGACAGCCCUUACCUUGAUUCCCCGGGCAACCUGGACUGACUAAGGUAGGCUUAGAGUCAAGUGGGAAUAGAGUUAUAUAUGCGUACAUCCAGGCAUUUACUGUACCGAAUGUGAUAUUACUGAUUGCUAAACCGAAGUGUCCUGAUUAGAUUCAUGGAAGCAUGAUGCCAUCGAAGAGUGGUUAUUAAAUACCCUUUCUUCAUGGCCGAAAAAAACCUCAUUCCUUUCUUAUGCUGUCAGUACAUUUUAGCAGUUUAAUCUCUUGAAAGAGCCUGAGAGUACAGAGCUGCUACACCCGUGUUAAGGGGAACUGAAGGCUGGAGCUGGGGGGAAACGGAGGGUACGCUGUGUCCAUUGAACUUACAGUGGAGAGAGUCUGAUUUUCCGUUGGCUUUUAAUUUGAAAUAAUAAAUUAAAAA
ensembl:lncRNA